GAUGAACGCUAGCGGGAGGCUUAACACAUGCAAGUCGAGGGGCAGCAUAGGGUAGCAAUACUCUGAUGGCGACCGGCAAACGGGUGAGUAACGCGUAUGUAACCUACCCUGUACAGGGGGAUAACCCGGAGAAAUUCGGACUAAUAUCCCAUAACAAUAUCCGGGGGCAUCUUUGGAUAUUUAAAGUUCCGGCGGUACGGGAUGGGCAUGCGUAACAUUAGCUAGUUGGUAAGGUAACGGCUUACCAAGGCUUUGAUGUUUAGGGGUCCUGAGAGGGUGGUCCCCCACACUGGUACUGAGACACGGACCAGACUCCUACGGGAGGCAGCAGUGAGGAAUAUUGGUCAAUGGGCGCAAGCCUGAACCAGCCAUCCCGCGUGCAGGAAGACGGCGCUAUGCGUUGUAAACUGCUUUUCCAGGGAGAGAAACUUGCGCACGUGUUGCGCAAUUGACGGUACCCUGGGAAUAAGCAUCGGCUAACUCCGUGCCUAGCAGCCGCGGUAAAACGUAGCGUG
rnacentral:rRNA from 1 species